rnacentral:lncRNA from 1 species
UAACUAAUUUAAAUCGGUAACUUGUACAGCAGAUUUCUUUAUGUAAAAUUUAACUACAUUUUUUUACUAAUUAAUAAGAAUCAAUUUCUUACAGGUCACUGCAAAUAUAGUAAAUUAUAAAUAUAUUUCUACAAAGUUCAACUUUCAUAUGUUAUUCCUACAAAAAUUUUAAUAUUUUUAAAUAUAUUCUUCUAAUUUGUUACUGCUAAAAUACUGUCUAUUUUAUAAAUAAAAUGAACUUUUUGUCAUCAUAAUUUUGUCCCUCCAAAAAUCCCAAAUGUUAAUUAAAGAGAAAAAAAAAGGCUAGUUCAUCUCAUUAACUAAUCAGAAUUAAGUAUUUAGUCUAUGAUUAAUUAAAAUUUUCUAACGAAUUCUAAUGACAGAAACAUUUGAAAAUUUUCGAACUUUUACAGAAACAAUGUAUAAAAGUUAAACUUCAUAAAAAUAUCUAUAAUUUAUUAUAUUUACAGAAACGUGUAUGCAAUUAAAUCUAACAAUU